AAAAGUAUGCAUUUGUAACUGGUGUGAAUUAUUUGAAUCGGUUUUUUUCCCUAUAUUGUAUUAUUUUCUUGAAUUUACUGGUUAUACUCCGUUUUAUAAUUAAAAUGGGUUAAUGAACCUCAAACAAUUUUGUUCAUAUCAUUGUUCACAAGGAAGAGAAUAUAACGUUGAAUUAAGGGAACUUUUCUUCGGGUCUUCGUUUAGGGUGGGAGCGUCACCGGUGCGACAUCUCCCGGGUUUCUCCAUGUACAACGUGUGAUGGUGCUUUUCUCGUAGACGUUUCUCUGGACAGACAGUGAGAGAGAAGCCGUUGAUCCACUGAUGAUGUUGGUCUGUUUACAGAUUAUAGAAAAACCUGUGCUUGUGGAUCUACAUCGGAUGACCAUGGCAACCCAGGUGUGGAAAUAUUAGACUGUUUUUAAUCUGAAAUCUGUGUAAUCUAAGAUGGACAAUUCUUCUGACACCAUAUGAAUGCAUACUGUCGUCUGGCAGAAGCUAGAUCAUUUAGAUUAUAAAGUUAUAUGUUUUUACACAUGCAUCUAUUUGCUUCAGAAGGCCUUUAUUAAAGGAUUAGUUCACCUCAAAAUGAACAUUUCCUGAUCAUUAAAGGAAUAGUCUACUCAUUUUCAAUAUUAAACUAUGUUAUUACCUUAACUAAGAAUUGUUGAUACAUCCCUCUAUCAUCUGUGUGCGUGCACGUAAGCGCUGGAGCGCGCUGCUACACUUCGAUAGCAUUUAGCUUAGCCCCAUUCAUUCAAUGGUACCAAUCAGAGAUAAAGUUAGAAGUGACCAAACACAUCAACGUUUUUCCUAUUUAAGACGAGUAGUUAUACGAGCAAGUUUGGUGGUACAAAAUAAAAAGUAGCGCUUUUCUAAGCGGAUUUAAAAGAGGAACUAUAUUUUAUGGCGUAAUAGCACUUUUGGGAGUACUUCGACUCGCCUGAAAAGUCCGCUCCCCUUCUCACUCUCAUAAUGGGAGAGGGAGGGUGUUACUGC